rnacentral:rRNA from 1 species
CCUUGGAGUGGCUUCCGGAGCUAACGCGUUAAAUCGACGCUGGGGAGUACGGCCGCAAGGUUAAAACUCAAAUGAAUUGACGGGGGCCCGCACAAGCGGUGGAGCAUGUGGUUUAAUUCGAUGCAACGCGAAGAACCUUACCUACUCUUGACAUCCAGAGAAUUUAGCAGAGAUGCUUUAGUGCCUUCGGGAACUCUGAGACAGGUGCUGCAUGGCUGUCGUCAGCUCGUGUUGUGAAAUGUUGGGUUAAGUCCCGCAACGAGCGCAACCCUUAUCCUUUGUUGCCAGCACAUUAUGGUGGGAACUCAAAGGAGACUGCCGGUGAUAAACCGGAGGAAGGUGGGGAUGACGUCAAGUCAUCAUGGCCCUUACGAGUAGGGCUACACACGUGCUACAAUGGCGUAUACAAAGAGAAGCGACCUCGCGAGAGCAAGCGGAACUCAUAAAGUACGUCGUAGUCCGGAUGGAGUCUGCAACUCGACUCCAUGAAGUCGGAAUCGCUAGUAAUCGUAGAUCAGAAUGCUACGGUGAAUACGUUCCCGGGCCUUGUACACACCGCCCGUCACACCAUGGGAGUGGGUUGCAAAAGAAGUAGGUAGCUUAACCUUCGGGAGGGCGCUUACCACUUUGUGAUUCAUGACUGGGGUGAAGUCGUAACAAGGUAACCA